UACGUAGGGACCAAGCGCUGUUCGGAUUUACUGGGCGUAAAGGGCGCGUAGGCGGCGUGGUAAGUCACUUGUGAAAUCUCUGAGCUUAACUCAGAACGGCCAAGUGAUACUGCUGUGCUAGAGUGCAGAAGGGGCAAUCGGAAUUCUUGGUGUAGCGGUGAAAUGCGUAGAUAUCAAGAGGAACACCUGAGGUGAAGACGGGUUGCUGGGCUGACACUGACGCUGAGGCGCGAAAGCCAGGGGAGCAAACGGG
rnacentral:rRNA from 1 species